rnacentral:tRNA from 2 species
GCCAGUGUAGCUUAAAUAAAGCAUGACACUGAAGAUGUC